UGGGGAAUAUUGGACAAUGGGCGCAAGCCUGAUCCAGCAAUGCCGCGUGUGUGAAGAAGGCCUUCGGGUUGUAAAGCACUUUUAUCAGGAGCGAAACGCUGUCGGCUAAUACCCGGCGGAACUGACGGUACCUGAGGAAUAAGCACCGGCUAACUUCGUGCCAGCAGCCGCGGUAAUACGAAGGGUGCAAGCGUUAAUCGGAAUUACUGGGCGUAAAGCGUGCGUAGGCGGUUUCUUAAGUCUGCUGUGAAAUCCCCGGGCUCAACCUGGGAAUGGCAGUGGAUACUGGGAGGCUAGAGUGUGUCAGAGGGUGGUGGAAUUCCCGGUGUAGCGGUGAAAUGCGUAGAGAUCGGGAGGAACAUCAGUGGCGAAGGCGGCCACCUGGGACAACACUGACGCUGAGGCACGAAAGCGUGGGGAGCAAACAGGAUUAGACACCCUGGUAGUCCACGCCCUAAACGAUGCGAACUGGAUGUUGGUCUCAACUCGGAGAUCAGUGUCGAAGCUAACGCGUUAAGUUCGCCGCCUGGGGAGUACGGUCGCAAGACUGAAACUCAAA
rnacentral:rRNA from 1 species